CUAUCAUACAUUUAAAUGUCAAACAAAUCUUUUAAAUACUGUUUAAUUUGAAUUGCAAAAACAGUGGCGUAGUGUUAUUUAAUGAGAUUGUACAUAUUAGCCUGAGGAGUGUUUAAGUAAUUCUUAGCUCGUUUUAUCAAGCACUUUUAAGAUUUAAAGAUGAAUAUGAGAUUAUGUUUUCAAAUUUGUAUUUGUUUUUUUAUGUUCUGCCACUAUGUUAACGCUCAAGUCCUUGCUGGAAACAGGAUGGGAAACUCAAUGUGGCUAAGUGGAAAUGUGAUGCCUCGACAUCCAGUGAUCACCACACCAGCACCUCAAUGCGUUCCUAUUAAGAGUACCAACUGUGAAAAAUAUGGUUUUAAUGUCACAAUGUUUCCGACUUUUCUUGGGCAUCUUAAUGUACGCGAUGCUGAUGCACUGCUGACUGACACAUUCUCCAAGACUAUUGUAUGUCUACUUCCCAGAGAAGCUGCUGAAUUAAUAGGAUGUGCCAUUAUUCUUCCGCUUUGCGAGAAUGGUAAAAAAGUGCCACCAUGCCAGGAGGAUUGUAGAGAUGUUAUCACUACAUGCAGAGUUAAUCGAUUUGCAGGAUAUGAAAUGUCUGACAGGAUAUGUAGUUUAUUUCCAAAAAGGUUGUCAGGCAUUAAUUGCAUCAAAAUGUAAGAUACGACAUAAAAGUGAAAAGAAAUUGGGAUGCUCAACAUUUGAUCAUUUACUUUUUAUUUAAUAAAUAUUAUGAACGUACCAAUUUAAA